ACUAGGAUUAGAUACCCUAUUAUUAAGAAAAAUUAUAUUGUUAGUAUAUAAAUUGUAUGAAAACAAAAAAUUAUGGCGGUAUUUUAAGCUUUUCAGAGGAAUUUGCUCUUUAAUGGAUAAAACACCUAAAUCUUACUAAAUUUAGUUAAACAGUUUGUAUACCACUAUUUAAGUAAUAAUUUGCUAUUAUUACUAAAAUUUAUAUUAAUUAAAAAAAGUUAAGUCAAGGUGCAGCAUAAAUUUUAGUAUGAAGUGAAUUACAUUUCUUUUAAGAAAAUUUUGUUGAAAAUAAAAUUUAGGAUUUGAAAGUAAAAUUUUAAUAGAAGGAAAAUUUGAAUUAAGCUCUAAAAUAUGUACACAUCGCCCGUCGCUCUCAUU
rnacentral:rRNA from 1 species